rnacentral:tRNA from 1 species
GGGCAGGUACCCAAGUGGCCAAAGGGGACUGACUGUAAAUCAGUUGGCGCAGCCUUCGGAGGUUCGAAUCCUUCCCUGCCCA